rnacentral:rRNA from 1 species
AGUGAACGCUGGCGGUAGGCCUAACACAUGCAAGUCGAACGGCAGCACAGUAAGAGCUUGCUCUUACGGGUGGCGAGUGGCGGACGGGUGAGGAAUACAUCGGAAUCUACUUUUUCGUGGGGGAUAACGUAGGGAAACUUACGCUAAUACCGCAUACGACCUACGGGUGAAAGCAGGGGAUCUUCGGACCUUGCGCGAUUGAAUGAGCCGAUGUCGGAUUAGCUAGUUGGCGGGUUAAAGGCCCACCAAGGCGACGAUCCGUAGCUGGUCUGAGAGGAUGAUCAGCCACACUGGAACUGAGACACGGUCCAGACUCCUACGGGAGGCAGCAGUGGGGAAUAUUGGACAAUGGGGGCAAGCCUGAUCCAGCCAUACCGCGUGGGUGAAGAAGGCCUUCGGGUUGUAAAGCCCUUUUGUUGGGAAAGAAAAGCAGCAGGUUAAUACCCCGCUGUUCUGACGGUACCCAAAGAAUAAGCACCGGCUAACUUCGUG